UUGAACGCUGGCGGCAUGCUUUACACAUGCAAGUCGAACGGUAACAGGGAGCUUGCUCCGCUGACGAGUGGCGAACGGGUGAGUAAUGCAUCGGAACGUGCCUAUUUGUGGGGGAUAACGUAGCGAAAGUUACGCUAAUACCGCAUACGCCCUGAGGGGGAAAGCGGGGGACCUUCGGGCCUCGCGCGAUUGGAGCGGCUGAUGUCGGAUUAGCUAGUUGGUGGUGUAAAGGCCUACCAAGGCGACGAUCCGUAGCUGGUCUGAGAGGAUGAUCAGCCACACUGGGACUGAGACACGGCCCAGACUCCUACGGGAGGCAGCAGUGGGGAAUUUUGGACAAUGGGCGCAACCCUGAUCCAGCCAUUCCGCGUGAGUGAAGAAGGCCUUCGGGUUGUAAAGCUCUUUCAGGAGGGAAGAAACGGUUGCGGCUAAUACCCGCGACUAAUGACGGUACCUUCAGAAGAAGCACCGGCUAACUACGU
rnacentral:rRNA from 1 species